rnacentral:rRNA from 1 species
ACGCGUAGGUAACCUGCCUUGUAGCGGGGGAUAACUAUUGGAAACGAUAGCUAAUACCGCAUAACAAUGGAUGACACAUGUCAUUUAUUUGAAAGGGGCAAUUGCUCCACUACAAGAUGGACCUGCGUUGUAUUAGCUAGUAGGUGAGGUAACGGCUCACCUAGGCGACGAUACAUAGCCGACCUGAGAGGGUGAUCGGCCACACUGGGACUGAGACACGGCCCAGACUCCUACGGGAGGCAGCAUG